GCAAGUGGCAACAAUGGAACCAAGAUUUUUUACAAAACUUAUGGCCAAGGCCCGGUCAAAGUUCUAUUGAUUAUUGGAUUGGCUGGAACGCAUAGUUCAUGGGACCCACAGAUCAAGGCGCUCGCCGGGACGAUUACGCCGAAUGAUUCUGAAUCGGCGGCCGGUGAUCGGAGCUACGGUGAAGGUGGGGGUAUGGAGGUUUGUGCUUUU
rnacentral:misc_RNA from 1 species